rnacentral:rRNA from 1 species
UACGUAGGGGGCGAGCGUUGUCCGGAAUCAUUGGGCGUAAAGCGCGUGUAGGCGGCUCGGUAAGUCCGGUGUGAAACCUUGGGGCUCAACCCCAAGCCUGCACUGGAUACUGUCGAGCUUGAGUCCGGGAGGGGAGAGCGGAAUUCCCAGUGUAGCGGUGAAAUGCGUAGAUACUGGGAGGAACACCGGUGGCGAAGGCGGCUACCUGGACCGGUUCUGACGCUGAUGCGCGAAAGCGUGGGUAGCAAACAGG